rnacentral:rRNA from 1 species
AUUGAACGCUAGCGGGAUGCCUUACACAUGCAAGUCGAACGGCAGCACGGACUUCGGUCUGGUGGCGAGUGGCGAACGGGUGAGUAAUGUAUCGGAACGUGCCCAGUAGCGGGGGAUAACUACUCGAAAGAGUAGCUAAUACCGCAUACGCCCUACGGGGGAAAGGGGGGGUUCGCAAAACCUCUCACUAUUGGAUCGGCCGAUAUCGGAUUAGCUAGUUGGUGGGGUAAAGGCCCACCAAGGCGACGAUCCGUAGCUGGUUUGAGAGGGCGACCAGCCACACUGGGACUGAGACGCGGCCCAGACUCCUACGGGAGGCAGCAGUGGGGAAUUUUGGACAAUGGGGGCACCCCUGAUCCAGCCAUCCCGCGUGUGCGAUGAAGGCCUUCGGGUUGUAAAGCAAUUUUGGCAGGAAAGAAAUCGCACGGGCUAAUACCUCGUGUGGAUGACGGUACCUGCAGAAUAAGCACCGGCUAACUACGUGCCAGCCGCCGCCGUAA